rnacentral:lncRNA from 1 species
UAUAUAUAUAUAUAUAUAUAUGUAUAUGCAAGAUUUUCUUAUAGAAAAAGGUGUUGAGUGGAUUGUUACUUGUUGGAGCAUACCCUUUUUUUUUUUUUCUUCUUUCAUCUGACAAUAAUAAAAACUUUCUGACUUUUGCCAUAAUGUUUACUAGAAUGAAAUUAGCCAUUUUUCUUCCGAAUGCUAAUUAUACCACACUACAAAAUCGCAUCACAAUAGUAUUAAAAUAUUUACAUAAUAU